rnacentral:misc_RNA from 1 species
GUGAAUCAUCAAAUCUUUGAACGCAAAUUGCACUCUCUUCGGAGAGUAUGAGUGUUUGAGGGUGAGACUAAAAAAAAUCGACAUAGCUGCUGUUACGCGGUAACAUUCGUCGGAACUUGGGUCAUCUUCAGCCUUUGGGUUUAAGCGGCUUAAAAUUUUCUUUACGAUUCAAGGUACGUUCCUAAGAUUUUAUUUUCUUAUACGUUUAAGGUAUCGAUGUUUAUUAGACGUGGCCGUUGCUUUGGAUCUCGUUCAUAAAUAU